GUGCCCGUAGCUCAGUCGGAUAGAGCACCAGAUUCCUAAUCUGGGGGUCAGAAGUUCGAAUCUUCUCGGGCACGCCA
rnacentral:tRNA from 1 species